rnacentral:rRNA from 1 species
GUGAGGAAUUUUCCGCAAUGGGCGAAAGCCUGACGGAGCAAUGCCGCGUUAAGGAUGAAGGCCUAUGGGUUGUAAACUUCUUUUCUUAGAGAAGAAUAUUGACGGUAUCUGAGGAAUAAGCAUCGGCUAACUCUGUGCCAGCAGCCGCGGUAAGACAGAGGAUGCAAGCGUUAUCCGGAAUGAUUGGGCGUAAAGCGUCUGUAGGUGGCUUCAAAAGUCUCCUGUCAAAGAUCAGGGCUUAACGCUGGGCAGGCAGAAGAAACUGUGAGGCUAGAGUUUGGUAGGGGCAGAGGGAAUUCCCGGUGGAGCAGUGAAAUGCGUAGAGAUCAGGAGGAACACCAAAGGCGAAAGCAGCCUGCUGGGCCACAACUGACGCUGAGGCACGAAAGCGAGGGGAGCAAAAGGGAUUAGAAACCCCUGUAGUCC